rnacentral:rRNA from 1 species
GAUCCUGGCUUAGGAUGAACGCUAGCUACAGGCUUAACACAUGCAAGUCGAGGGGUAGCAGGAUCUAGCAAUAGAUUGCUGACGACCGGCGCACGGGUGAGUAACACGUAUCCAACCUUCCGUUUACUCGGGGAUAGCCUUUCGAAAGAAAGAUUAAUACCCGAUAGUAUGUUUUUCCCGCAUGGGAGAACCAUUAAAGUUUUUCGGUAAUCGAUGGGGAUGCGUUCCAUUAGGCAGUUGGUGAGGUAACGGCUCACCAAACCUUCGAUGGAUAGGGGUUCUGAGAGGAAGGUCCCCCACAUUGGAACUGAGACACGGUCCAAACUCCUACGGGAGGCAGCAGUGAGGAAUAUUGGUCAAUGGACGAGAGUCUGAACCAGCCAAGUAGCGUGAAAGGAUGACUGCCCUAUGGGUUGUAAACUUCUUUUAUAUGGGAAUAAAGGAGCCUACGUGUAGGUUUUUGUAUGUACCAUACGAAUAAGGAUCGGCUAACUCCGUGCCAGCAGCAGC